GAUGAACGCUGGCGGCGUGCCUAAUACAUGCAAGUCGAGCGAACGGACGAGAAGCUUGCUUCUCUGAUGUUAGCGGCGGACGGGUGAGUAACACGUGGAUAACCUACCUAUAAGACUGGGAUAACUUCGGGAAACCGGAGCUAAUACCGGAUAAUAUUUUGAACCGCAUGGUUCAAAAGUGAAAGACGGUCUUGCUGUCACUUAUAGAUGGAUCCGCGCUGCAUUAGCUAGUUGGUAAGGUAGCGGCUUACCAAGGCAACGAUGCGUAGCCGACCUGAGAGGGUGAUCGGCCACACUGGAACUGAGACACGGUCCAGACUCCUACGGGAGGCAGCAGUAGGGAAUCUUCCGCAAUGGGCGAAAGCCUGACGGAGCAACGCCGCGUGAGUGAUGAAGGUCUUCGGAUCGUAAAACUCUGUUAUUAGGGAAGAACAUAUGUGUAAGUAACUGUGCACAUCUUGACGGUACCUAAUCAGAAAGCCACGGCUAACUACGUG
rnacentral:rRNA from 1 species